UACGUAGGGGGCAAGCGUUGUCCGGAUUUAUUGGGCGUAAAGAGCGUGUAGGCGGUCAGGUAGGUCCGUUGUGAAAACUCGAGGCUCAACCUCGAGACGCCGAUGGAAACCAUCUGACUAGAGUCCGGAAGAGGAGACUGGAAUUCCUGGUGUAGCGGUGAAAUGCGCAGAUAUCAGGAAGAACACCCGUGGCGAAGGCGGGUCUCUGGGACGGUACUGACGCUGAGACGCGAAAGCGUGGGGAGCGAACAGG
rnacentral:rRNA from 1 species